GUGGCUACUGUGCCAGCUGGUGGAUCGCUCGGCUUGAGAGCUGAAGAAGGACGUGCCAAGCUGCGAUAAGCCCAAGGGAGCCGCACGGAGGCAAAGAACUUGGGAUCUCCGAAUGGGAAUCCCCACCGCAAUUGCUUCGCGCAAUGGGGAACGUCGAGAAUUGAAACAUCUUAGUAUCGACAGGAAAAGAAAGCAAACGCGAUGUCGUUAGUAAUGGCGAAUAAACGCGACACAGUCCAAACCGAAGCCCUCACGGGCAAUGUGGUGUUCGGACUGACGAUCACUUCCCGAACGGCGACGCGAAGUCUCUUGGAAUAGAGNACAGUCCAAACCGAAGCCCUCACGGGCAAUGUGGUGUUCGGACUGACGAUCACUUCCCGAACGGCGACGCGAAGUCUCUUGGAAUAGAGUACGAGACAGGGUGACAGUCCCGUACCGUCGACAAGUAAGGAACGAGUCAGCUCCAGAGUAUCGGGGGUUGGAUAUCCCUCGUGAAUAUCGCGGGCAUCGACCGCGAAGACUAAACACUCCUCAAGACCGAUAGCGAACAAGUAGUGUGAACGAACGCUGAAAAGCACCCCACAAAGGGAGGUGCAAUAGGGCGUGAAAUCAGUUGGCGAUAGAGCGACAGAGCAUACAAGGUCCGCCGAGUAACGACCGAGACGCGAGUCUCUGGUAGGAAUCGACGG
rnacentral:rRNA from 2 species